rnacentral:rRNA from 1 species
GGGGGGCGCCGGACAGUUCGUGAGGUGUUGGCCCUCUCAAAAGCCAAUUCCCCGGGGCUGAUCUUCCUAUCAGAAACACGUCAAGCCUCUAGUCAGAUGGAAAAGCUUAAAAGGAGAUUGAAUAUGAAGGGUUUUGCGGGUGUAUCCAGUGCUGGCCUCAGUGUAGGGAUUGCAUUAUAUUGGGAUGAAAACCUGCAAGUAACAGUGCUUGAUUCAUGUGCACGGUACAUAGAUGUGAGAAUCGUGGACAAUGCCAAUGAAAAAACAUGGAGAACUACUAUAACACCCUCGAUGCGACUAUAG